GAGUUUGAUCGUGGCUCAGAUUGAACGCUGGCGGCAUGCCUUACACAUGCAAGUCGAACAGUAACAGGUCUUCGGAUGCUGACGAGUGGCGAACGGGUGAGUAAUACAUCGGAACGUGCCCGAUCGUGGGGGAUAACGAAGCGAAAGCUUUGCUAAUACCGCAUACGAUCUACGGAUGAAAGCAGGGGACCGCAAGGCCUUGCGCGAACGGAGCGGCCGAUGGCAGAUUAGGUAGUUGGUGGGAUAAAAGCUUACCAAGCCGACGAUCUGUAGCUGGUCUGAGAGGACGACCAGCCACACUGGGACUGAGACACGGCCCAGACUCCUACGGGAGGCAGCAGUGGGGAAUUUUGGACAAUGGGCGAAAGCCUGAUCCAGCCAUGCCGCGUGCAGGAUGAAGGCC
rnacentral:rRNA from 1 species